GCAACGCGAAGAACUUACCAGGUCUUGACAUCCCACGAAUUCAUCUGAAAGGAUGGAGUGCUUCGGGAGCGUGGAGACAGGUGGUGCAUGGUUGUCGUCAGCUCGUGUCGUGAGAUGUGGGUUAAGUCCCGCAACGAGCGCAACCCUUGCUAUUAGUUGCUAACAGGCAGAGCUGAGCACUCUAAUGGGACUGCCGGUGACAAGCCGGAGGAAGGUGGGGAUGACGUCAAAUCAUCAUGCCCUUUAUGACCUGGGCUACACACGUGCUACAAUGGAUGGUACAGAGAGCAGCGAGGCAGCGAUGUGGAGCGAAUCUCAAAAAGCCAUUCUCAGUUCGGAUUGGAGUCUGCAACUCGACUCCAUGAAGUCGGAAUCGCUAGUAAUCGCGAAUCAGCAUGUCGCGGUGAAUGCGUUCCCGGGCCUU
rnacentral:rRNA from 1 species